UUAUACAAAGGAGAUGUUAACAAUGCAAUACAACCUCGCUCAUCGGGAAACAGUAGUCAGCAAGUGGGCGUGGCAGGUAGUACAAACUCAUGGGCGCCAUGUGCUCCCCUCUUUGGGUUGGCCAAGAUGUUUAA